rnacentral:sRNA from 1 species
GCCGGGCGCAGUGACGCAUGCCUAUGAUCCCAGCAGCUCGGGAGGCUGAGGCAGGAGGAUCGAGAGUUCAAAGCCAGCCUCAGCAACUGUGAGGCACUAAGCAACUCAGUGAGACCCUGUCUCUA